rnacentral:rRNA from 1 species
GAUGAACGCUAGCGGGAGGCCUAAUACAUGCAAGUCGAACGGUAAAUGGUAGCAAUACUAUGAGAGUGGCGUACGGGUGCGUAACGCGUACACAACCUGCCUUGUACUGGGGGAUAGCCUCGGGAAACUGAGAUUAAUACCCCAUAAUUUUACGAAGUAGCAUUACUUUGUAAUUAAAGCUCCGGCGGUACAAGAUGGGUGUGCGUCCGAUUAGGUAGUUGGUGAGGUAACGGCUCACCAAGCCGACGAUCGGUAGCUGGUCUGAGAGGACGAUCAGCCAC